AGCUGCUUUAUGGGGAGCUCAUCAGGGAGAGGAGGGAGAGUUCUCCGGGUCUGACUCAGGCACCAAAUCACAGUGCCAGGCGCAGCAUCUCUGCGCAUGGCUGGCCACCACUGUCUUGGAUUGCCGUGUGGGGUUGCGGCGCUUCUGCACAGGGCCAGCCAACCUGAGGUGUUGCUGCGGCCAUUUUGCCUGAGCAACUGCUCUGAAGCUCUGGGUGGGAGGGUCCUGCAAGCUACACCCUAGGAGCAAGUGACAGCAGACUCAGCAUAAGGGAAAAGAAAGAAAAAGGUUAGACUUUAUUUUAUUACCCAUAUUCUUUUUUAAUUUUCCAGGAGUUUGUGAAUGGGCUUUCUCGAUGACAGUUGGUGACAUUUGAGGAGAGCUCCAAAUGAUGUCGUGUGAGGGAAGAAUCUCGGCAAAAGAAGUAGCAGAGAAGAAACUGGAUCCAUUAUCUCAAGUCUUGGGAGAGAAGGACCUGGAAUUUCCCCUACUAAAGACUGUAAUCAGUGGUGAAGAGGUAAUUCAUCCAAAAGAAAAUCAGUUUAGAUGGGUAAAUUGAAUGUAUGCUUUUAGGUUAAAAAAAAAAAAAUGGCCCAAUGUUAAUAGAGAUUUUCUUCCAGUUUGAAUUCAGUUUGAGACACAAUUUAUUUUAUUUUAUUUUGUCUUUUUAGGGCUUCACCUGCAGUGUAUGUAAGUUCCCAGGCCAGGGGUCAAAUUAGAACUACAGCUGCCAGCCUGUGCCACAGCCACAGCAAUGCCAGAUCUGAAUGGCACCUGCAACCAACACCCAGCUCACGGCAAUGCAGCAUCCUUUGACCCACCAAGCAAGGCCAGGGAUUGAACCCACAUCCUCAUGGAUACUAGUCAGAUUCUUAACCUGCUGAGCCACAAUGGGAACUCCUGAGAGACAGUUUCUGAACACUUACUGUAUGGCCUGUCCUUUGCUAUAGCUGCAGAUAACACGAUGAAUAAGAAAAGAACUCUCUUCAAGCACAUUAAUUCAAAUAAGUAAAUUUUAUGUUUUGUGAUAGAUGUUAUUAUGCAAAUUUAUUUAAAGUGAAUGAGAACAAAAAUGGAAUACCUAGGAAGGCAAAAGAAAAGUAGCAAUUAGAUAAGUCAUUAAGGAUGUGCAAGUACUUAUAUGUUGGGCAAGGAAGGAAAGAAUGGAUUGAUGGCAAAUAUCUGGAGGUAUGGAAGGAUGCAGUAUGUUAGGUGUAUGGUGAGAGGCCCAAAAUAGCUGUAACACAGGGUAUGUAGUGCAAGACAAGACUACACAGUUAAGAUAAAGAUAUGUUAAAGAAGAAUGUUAAAAUACUAAAUAAUUUGGCAUUGUGAACACCUAAAUUUAACUAGGGAAGUGCCAUCAUCAGAUCUGUGUUUAAAUUAUGUUUUUGGAAACCGUCUAAAGGAUGAGUGGGUAAAGUGCAGAUAUUGAAGAAAGAAACCAGGACAGAGGCUUUUGUCAUGGUCUAAACAAGAGGUGAGUCCCAAAUUAAUGAAUGAUGGAAAAAUGUGUAUUUGAGAAUGUUUCUUAGCUAGAGUUAACGUCAAAUUAUAAAAAGGGAGGUACACAAAGACUUUAUGAAACAGAAUGUAUGAAUUUGAAUUUCCCACUUUGAGUAAUAGGAGGGGCAGGGUUACUUUUGAGUGAAUUAAGAAAGGGAAAAAGGAAAACAGAUUUAGGCUGAGGAGGAAGGAGUUAGUAGGAGUGAUGGGCCGGCCACACCUGUGGCAUGUGGAAGUUCCCAGGCUAGGGGUCAAAUCGGAGCUACAGCUGCUGGCCUCGGCUACAGCCACAGCAACUCAGGACCUAGGCCGCACCUUGCAGCAACUCUGAAUCCUUAACCCAUUGAGCAAGGCCACCGAUCGAAUCUGCAUCCUCAUGGAUACUAGUCAAGUUUUUAACCUACUGAGCUACUACAGGAACUUUGAGUUUCCAUUUUAAAUAUGCUGCAUUUGAGAUGAAUGCAGGAUAAAGAGAGAGAGAUGACUGUUCUGGAAUUUCAGAGAGAACCGCAGCAAGGCGAUAUAUUUCUGGAAUCCUUUCCAAAUGAAUAUUAUUUGAAAGCCUGUAAGUAGGUGAGAACAUCUCAGAGGGGCAUAAAAAAUGAGAAGGAAAGUCACCCAAAGGCAAAAUGCUGGGAAUGUCAAAAACCUAAAUGACAUGAAGAAACAUCAGCAAAAUUAAGAAAAUUAAACCAAUAAAAGGAAAACCAGGAAAAAUGUAAUCUGAAUGAAAAUAUAUUUUUUAAAUAAAGAAUG
rnacentral:lncRNA from 9 species